UUACAAUGAAUGAUGACGAUGA
rnacentral:siRNA from 1 species